rnacentral:rRNA from 1 species
GGAAUCUUCCACAAUGGACGAAAGUCUGAUGGAGCAACGCCGCGUGAGUGAAGAAGGGUUUCGGCUCGUAAAACUCUGUUGUUAAAGAAGAACAUAUCUGAGAGUAACUGUUCAGGUAUUGACGGUAUUUAACCAGAAAGGAACGGCUAAAUACGUGCCAG